rnacentral:lncRNA from 1 species
GUCAGUCACCUUACAGGCCAAUAGGACUAGUAUUAGAAUUAAGUAAAAUGCUAAGGAAUACUAAGACAAUAGUAACAUUCCAUAUGUUUCCGGCCCAGUCAGAAAUCCAGCAUGUGUGUCUUAGUGAGUUGGUCUUAACAUGUUUGAGAAUGAAGGGUAGCCAUUCUACCAUUAAACAGCCACUAAAGAGAGCCCUUUCCUAAAAACAUUAUCUCCUGGAAGAACAUUGAGCUCUUUUCAUCCUUCUGAAACGAUGCAAAUUGCAAAUGGGAUCAAGAUCAAGAUCAUAAACAACAAGGAAAACCAAGGAAUCAUCACAGGCUGGGGGAGACUAAGUAGACAACACAACUCAAUGCAAUGUGGAAUCCUAGAACAGAGAAAGGACGCUGGCAGAAGAAUGAGUCAAUCCAAUAAGCAGGGCCAAGACUGAUAACGAAUGGCCCGUGGGAAGCGCACGAAGUCCAACGUGAAUCAACGAUAGCACUAAUGAAAUUGCUUCAAGUUCUAGAGCAGAAGGGAGAACAAAGUGGAUCCCGUCUCCAGGCAAGGGCUCCCCCGUUCCCAUGGUGUGGAGAAGCCUGCCAAGAGCCGAACCGCGGCCUGAGUUCUAAGCACCGCCGGUCAUGUGGCUCACGAGGAGCCCAUCCAUCUUCCUGCACCUCAGGUUUGCCAGAUGGAAAAUAAGGGAUGAGGGUUAACUCUCUGGUGGUCCCUUCCAAAUCUCUCAUUUCUCCCUCUGGUUUCAUUGGCAGAUCUAUAUUCACUACAGACAAGGAAUAACUCUGUAGGUAACCUCUCAUUCUAAACCGGGCUCCGUCAGGUGAGGCUGAGAGAAGGACAUUCACUGGGAACCGUCAAGAUGUCAAAAAAUAUCAAUCCCAUGGGCCAUGUUUCCAAUCCUCCUACCUCCUACCCAGACGAACUCAUUACGAAACAGGUUUGUCCUGGAUCCCAUCCAAAAAGACCUGGUGAAGUCAAGCACAACGAGGAGGUUCCCACUUCUCAGGUGUCUCUCCAUGCACAUCUCAAUGCCUUAGGGAGAGGGUAUAACCAGGGAAGAGCCCACCACCACACGCUGAAGGGAAGAUCCCUCCCAGGGGGUUCAAGGGAGGCUGGAGAGUGGUACUGCUUUGGCUGCUGCUUGUUUUGUGUGGUAUCAGGGACAUAUUCCACAAGGAUGUGAGUAGACUCGAAGAGAUGCUCAAAUGACUCAGAGCAUUUGAAAGAUUUUCCACUCUGUUUUAUAAACGCAACAGGGCCAGACUAGAGGAAGCAAGUGAGACGCUCAUCUCAGGCGCAGGAUUUAAGGGGAUCCCAAACAACUCAGCCAUCUAGAUAAAUAACAUUUUAGUGCAAAUUUAAAAAAAUUGAUAUGGAUGCAAACAAUCCAUGAUGAGCAAAAUACCAAAAUGUUAAAUAAAGAGAGCAGCAGUCUAGGUAUAAGCAGACAGCCAGGUUCUUUUAAAAGAGUGGGUCUGGCUCGUGUAAAAUAAACCAUUGUAACAUCUUCCAAUCCCACUUUAAAUUUAGAUCUAGGAAGAUAACCUAGAUCUAGGAGACUUGAGUGCUGAUGAUUUACCCACAUUCUCAUCUUUGUCAUAUCCACAUCUGCAUUUGCUAAACAUUCUCAUCAUGGAUGUUCGGGAAUGAGCAAUACCAGCCGCAGAAUUGUACUAGGAGGAUAUGCCAACAAAAGGUACGCAGCUUCCAUCCUUUGAAACUAGACUGAACAGAAAUUUUCAAGGACGACUGUAGGAAAAUUCAUGUCCUGGAAAGAAGUAUUACCCAAAAAUGUUCAAUUCUAAAACGAUAUUUCUUUGAAAUAAUUAUUUAUUUGAGUAGAGAUAAAGCUUUGGCCUGCAUUAUAUUCUCUCAAAAAAAAAAAAAAAGACAACUACUAUAUAUACUGAUACCUAUUUAUUUUCUGGAAGUGUAGUUCAGCUGAUGCCACCCCCAACUCAAAAACCUCAGAGGGCUCCCGACUGCCUGUAAACUUAAAUUCAAAUUCCAGAGCCCAGUAAUCAAGAGGCUUACUCUCCAUACUAAUUCCUAUGAUUUCCCUUAACUCCUCCUUCUUUCACUCACCCGCCAGCAGCCCUGUCCAUUCUCCUUACCCAGGCUUUCCAGCCUUCCUGCCUUUGCUGAGGCUCUUCCCUCCUAGGAGCAGGAAGGCCCUUCUCUCACCACCUGCUAGCCCAUCUCUCCUUUUCUAAAUCUUAUUCAUUCUUCCCAUCUCAAUUCUAAAACUGCCUUCUCUGCGAAGCCUUAGAACUCUGUUAGGUGCUGAAUUAUCAGACAAAGAAAAGUUAGCAAGUGAUGGCCCCAAGUAGCUUUUGCAUUUUAAUUUAACCCUAAAUUAACCCAAAUGCUUAAUUUACCAAAAAUGCCUCAUUUUCAAAGCAUACUGAUUAUUCCUUCUCUGCUCUCGGGAGCAGUGCCAAUAGGGGCAGGAAAGAAAGGGAAAAAAAAAUGAGAAAAAAAUAAAGCUUCUUUUCCUCAUGGACUCCUGGAACAAAGCAGAUAUUCAAUAAAUGAAUACACGAACGAAUCCAAUUUUUUAUGGACAAGAAGUUAGUCCAAUGGCCCCAGGAAUCAGAUACAGAUGUACAAGAUAAAUAUUCUCUGUAUCCCAAAAAACCCACACAAAGAAACACACACUACUCUCGGCCCAAGCAGGGAAAGAAAGAAAAAUCCCGUUUUGACUCCUGAGGCUUAACUGGGAUUCCCAGCUCUCCCAGACCUGUGCUGCCUGCCCUGGGUGAUUUGUUUCCGAAACUAAGGACCUGGUGCUCAAAGCCUGAUUUUCUCCAUGCAAAGCCAUUCAAAACCAUCUUAGUCACACAGAUAGAAGGUGAAAAUAUAUUGCAAGCAAACUACUGGACUGAGGUCUAGUUUAUCAAACCAAUUACACUGAGAUGUUAUGGGAAGGGGGGGAAAUGUAAUCACAUAUGACAAGGAUUAUCAAAACUGCUUACACAGUAAAUCAGGAAACUGAUAACAGGCUGACAAUGGCAUAUACCUGACUGAGGAAUUUCAGGAUUCCCCAGGCUUGUAAAACAGAAAUAACAACACAGAACGAGCUGUGCCGUGCUGUCGGGGACUGGGAUACACCUGGGUGAAGGGUGGAGGGUGAGAAAGGCCUGGGACAGGUGAAGCAAGAGUCUGUCUCAAGGACCCUUCUCCAAGACCUUGUUUUGCAGGGUGCCCUUUCUUGUUACACUCUUCAGAAACAUCUUAAUGGGUCCUGACCUUGGUCAACACAGAAUUAGAGCAGUAAGUCAGGGGUGACAUGAGGAAACUCCUUGGGGAACAGAAAGAGACACAGAGAAAUCAAAGUUGUGGUAAGGACUGGGGUCUAUCAGAGCUCCACCUUGACAGGAGAGUCGGGAAAAGAGUCAUUCUGCUUCGUUUCUGGCAUCAACUGACUUUCUGAGGAAUGGCCUAGAAAGCUAUAUGGGGCUUCACGAGUAGGGACGUGCAGGCACACUGAGAAGCUCUCGCUCCUUUUUGGACCCUGCCUUUCAGGGUGUUGAGAGGCCAUCCAGGGCAGGCAAAGGCAUGCAGAGUGGUGUCAUGUUGUACCCCAAAUAAAAGGGCAAUAAAUUAACUUUCUGGAACAUAGAGUCACCGCAGGAUCCAUCGGGGCCCAGAGCAAAAGCAAACUGCAGGAGAUACCAAAUGAAUCACUGACAGACAAGACACCAAAAUAGAGGCCCUAAAUAAAGCAACUGACCUGGAAAAGGAAAUAAAUACCUACAUUUUAAAGGAGGGCUCUCCUAGUCUUCCCUGUGCCUCACUAGGUUUGGGGUUUUGUUCACAAUUGUGGCACCUUGAAACACUCUAAGAAGUUUGGCUGACUCAGGAGGGCACAGGCUUAAACUUUAUCAACAUCGGAGACGGCCGUGAUUUGCAUCAAGUUCAAUGCUGUCCUUUUGGCAGUUGUUGCACUUAAUUGAGUGAAAAAAGCUGUCAGUCUAAUGCCCCAAUCCCAAGGUAGAUUCACUCUGAACUAACCAUCUGCCAGGGCUUCUCCCAGGGUAGUCAACACUUAUCAUCCAGAGGACUGGAUUCACUUUCUCAUAAUUAGAUCAUUCCUGAAUUAAAUUGACGGUCCCAGGGAAAAAAAAAUGCAAAGUGUGUUUUGAGACCAGAAAGCGGAAGCCGACUUGUUUUAACAAAUGCAGAAGACUACAUAUUUUUCCACAGCAACAGAGUGGCAAAUAAAUGACUUUUCCUAAAUUAGGCUGCACAACAAUUAUUAUCUUUCAUGCCAUCCUUUGAAUUAUAUUCAGGUUUUUAUUUGGAAAGUUAAGGCAUUUCUUGGAAGCUCCACACACAAACCCAAAGAAUGGGUAGCUAGCUGUUCACAGUCCCAGGUACCCAAGCAAAGUCAGGCCAGGCUGACCAAUCUUAUCAAAUGCUGUGAAUGUCAAAGUCUCUGUGCAUUUGCUGGCACACCCAUGAACCUGCUCCUCACUCAAAAUAAAGGGAAAGAAUUACACGCAGUUUCUUGUAUCCCAAGGUAGCCAUUUGUUGGAGAGGCCUGGGUUAGGGGAGUCAGGUCAAACAAACCACUAAGACAUAAACCUGGAACCAGGUCCCAAAAGCAACACAAUCAUGCUCUAAGCAAAAACAGGUGAAGAUAUGAAACAGGAGGAGAGUCUGAAGGUUUCUCUGUAAACAUGAUUUCAUUCCCUGACAGUAAUUGGGUGAUUUGCCUCGAGUCAGAUUCAGUCUCGUGGGCACUUAACUGCACAAGGUUUUUCAAACAUUGCACAUUAACUCAAAUUUUUCCAGGAAAUAUUUCUGAAUUAACUAAAGUGCUUAGUAAUUUUUUUUCUAUUGUUCUUCAGAAGUUUUCACACCACUUGGUUAUCACUAUUUUUCUGAUGAAACACAGAGACAGAAACCAGUGAAACACUGUCUCAUAGGGCCU